ensembl:processed_transcript Gm16127 predicted gene 16127
CUUUCUGGAAAACUUGGGUGUCUCAGCGCGCCCCGGGAAAAGGGGAGGCAGCCGCGGUUGGAGGUGAUGCGGGAGUUAGCCAUUCUGUAGGUGCCUCUGGCCAGGCACUAGGCUGUUAGUGAGGAGUUACUUAAAAGACCGGCUCCCCAGAGAGUCCUAAAAGACCACCAAGAGCAGAAGGUACUCGAGACUCAUGGGAGCUACAACUUAACUUGAGGGUUUCAUUAACGACGCG